rnacentral:rRNA from 1 species
CCCCUAGAUGUUCUGGGCCGCACGCGCGCUACACUGAACAGUUCAACAAGUCUUAACCUUGGCCGAUAGGUCUGGGUAAUCUUUGAACGCUGUUCGUGAUUGGGAUAGACCUUUGCAAUUAUGGGUCUUCAACGAGGAAUUCCUAGUAAACGCAAGUCAUCAGCUUGCAUUGAUUACGUCCCUGCCCUUUGUACACACCGCCCGUCGCACCUACCGAUUGAAUGGUCCGGUGAAAUCUCGGAUCGAGCCGUGGGGCAACUCCGGUUCGAGAAGUUGAUUAAACCUUACCAUUUAGAGGAAGGUGAAGUCGUAACA